rnacentral:rRNA from 1 species
GACGAACGCUGGCGGCGUGCUUAACACAUGCAAGUCGAACGGAAAGGCCCUGCUUGCAGGGUACUCGAGUGGCGAACGGGUGAGUAACACGUGGGUGAUCUGCCCUGCACUUCGGGAUAAGCCUGGGAAACUGGGUCUAAUACCGGAUAGGAGCCAUUUUUAGUGUGAUGGUGGAAAGUUUUUUCGGUGUAGGAUGAGCUCGCGGCCUAUCAGCUUGUUGGUGGGGUAAUGGCCUACCAAGGCGGCGACGGGUAGCCGGCCUGAGAGGGUGGACGGCCACAUUGGGACUGAGAUACGGCCCAGACUCCUACGGGAGGCAGCAGUGGGGAAUAUUGCACAAUGGGCGCAAGCCUGAUGCAGCGACGCCGCGUGGGGGAGGACGGCCUUCGGGUUGUAAACUCCUUUCGCUAGGGACGAAGCUUUUUGUGACGGUACCUAGAUAAGAAGCACCGGCUAACUACGUG